CGACCUUGCCUCUCGCGGAGGGGUUGGGCGGCGGCGAGAGCAAUGCGGCGGUGGAAGGGCGGGACGCGAACGGGGUGGUGGUGCGGGUGGAGGAGGUCGAGGGGCUCGAGAGGUGUGCCGUGGGGGGACCCUACCCAUAGAGUCGGGUUGAAUCAAGAUUAAUAUUGAUGGUUGCUUCUUAGAAGACAAGUCUUGGCCAUUGGGGGGCGAUUGCAAGAUAUCAAAGGGGAAAUUCUAUUUGCGGCAUGGAGAGCAAUUGACCGAUGCGCCGGUGCCCUAGAAUAUGAAGGGGUGGCUUGUCGACAAGGUGUUUAAAACACCAUCAAGAGAAAUAUUUUGCCAAUUCAGGUGAAAUCUUAUUGCCUUGAGCUGCUUGCAGGGUUGUGGACCAAUGCAUGUUUGCACUUUUAAUUUGCAGGUCUAAUGUAAGAGGGAUCCUUAAGGAGAUUCAUGUGUUGCUAGACCUAUCGCUUGGUUUCAAGCUAGAAAAGGCUAAACAAAACCUAAACUUGUCUGCUCUUAGCCUAGGCUAGUAGAAGGGGUUUGUGUUGUGAUGUGUUAACGGGUUCGCUUCCGGCCGGCAUGUCAAAGUGUCUCAACCUUGAUUAUAAUGCUAACGAUGUUCUAAUA